AAAAAAAAAAAAAAAAAAAAAAAAUCCCUGGUUGAGCUACACAGGUGCAGAGUUGUUGUUCUUUAACCAGAAGAUCGAGUGCGACAACCCUGAAGAAAUGUUGACC
rnacentral:ribozyme from 1 species